rnacentral:rRNA from 1 species
AGGACGAACGCUGGCGGCGAGCCUAAUACAUGCAAGUCGAGCGAAUCUGAGGGAGCUUGCUCCCAAAGAUCUAGCGGCGGACGGGUGAGUCACACGUGGGCAACCUGCCUGUAACGACUGGCAUAACUCCGGCAAACCGGGGCUAAUACCGGAUAAUAUCUAUUUAUACAUAUAAUUACGAUUGAACGACGGUUCUGCUAUCACAUACAGAUGGCCCGCGCGCAUUAGCUAGUUGGGUAGGGAAACGGAUUACCAAGGCGACGAUGCGUACCCACCCUGAAAGGUGAAUCGGCCACAUUGGGAAUUGGACACGGGCCAACCUCCUAGGGAGGCACAGUAGGGGAAAUUUCCCAAUGGGCCAAAGUUUGACGUCACAACCCCGUGGAGUGAUAAAGGGUUUCGGAACGAAACUCUGUGUUAGGGAAAAACAAGUACCGGAGAACUGCCGGUACCUUGCGGGACCUAACCCGAAAGCCACGGGUAAUAACGUGCAACAGCCGCGGUAUACUAAGUGGCAAGCGGUUGCCGGAAAUAUGGCG